GGCAGGUCAGCAUACUGCCGUGAAUACGUUCCCGGGCCUUGUACACACCGCCCGUCACACCAUGAGAGUUGGAAAUACCCGAAGCCUGUGAGCUAACUUAAAGAGGCAGCAGUCGAAGGUAGAGCCAAUGAUUGGGUGAAGUCGUAACAAGGUAAC
rnacentral:rRNA from 1 species